GUAUUUAGAAUUAUUUCAUUCAAAAAUAGCUUCAGACAAAAAAAUUGCAAUAAAAAAGUUGGUAUUAUGCGCAUGACGCGUCACUGACGCGACGCGUGUAGCACAAACAUUUCACACAAGGUGAGUACUUGUUUAAAAAGUGCAGUAGAACACUUGUUAUGAAUGAUCCUUCCGCAGGUUCACCUACGGAAA
rnacentral:misc_RNA from 1 species